rnacentral:rRNA from 1 species
UACGUAGGGGGCAAGCGUUGUCCGGAAUCAUUGGGCGUAAAGCGCGUGUAGGCGGCCAGAAAAGUCCGCUGUGAAAACUCGAGGCUCAACUUCGAGCUGUCGGUGGAAACUUUCUGGCUAGAGUCCGGAAGAGGAGAAUGGAAUUCCUGGUGUAGCGGUGAAAUGCGCAGAGUAUCAGGAAGAACACCCGUGGCGAAGGCGGUUCUCUGGGACGGUACUGACGCUGAGACGCGAAAGCGUGGGGAGCGAACAGG